GGAUCCCAUCAGAACUCCGAAGUUAAGCGUGCUUGGGCGAGAGUAGUACUAGGAUAGGUGACCUCCUGGGAAGUCCUCGUGUUGCAUUUCCC
rnacentral:rRNA from 1 species